rnacentral:lncRNA from 1 species
CUCAUGUUACAGCUCCAGCCUCCCGGUGUGAAGCCAAGACUUGUACUAAAUCAUGAAUGGAUAUUAGGCAGGUGGGGUGAAAGCCAGGGCACCUCACAGCGUGCUCCUGCUGGUGCCGCUGCUGCUCUGCUCCGUCCUCCUGCACCCACCGCAGCUCUUCCUCCUUCCCGGGGCUGCAGAUCCUGCAGAGCACCCACGGCUGCUGCCGGUGCCCCUCAGCUCAGGACAUCCGGCCCUCAGAAAGUGCAGAAAGCCCCGAAUUCCUCAUUUUCUUCACGCAAUGAGAAGGGCUUCAGGACUCGGAUUACCCCCAUGAAAUCUCUCCCUGUCCCAAAGCACGUCCUGCGCGCUGGCUGAGGCAGGAGAAGUGUUCCAGUCUCUAUCGAAACCUGCGACUUCCACCACCCCUUUGGUGGCUGGGAAUGGCGCCCAGACAUGAAAUAACGAACUGAAACCCCUCCACGCGUUGACCAAAGAAAACAAGCUGUCAAACAGAAAUAUCCCCUCGCUCCUUUCCGAGGCGGACCCAAUCUCGUUCCCAUCUGCAGGCUGUGCGGCGCUGGGAAGGCAGCAUGAGGAACUCAGCAUGAAAUCGUCAGCGACGGCGUGCGGUGCUGUUUGUGCAGCAUAAAUCAGUCUGGGGAAUGAAGAGCCCCAUCUUCUUUCUCGCAGAAUUAAAAAAGAGGGGCAUCAAUACUAUGGAUAUUUCAAGUCUCCAGAGAGCUCUGCUUCGAAGGAAAGAGACAGCAGAGCGCCUGCAGCAGAACCAAAGCUUCAGCUCACUGAAUUCUCUGCUUUUUCCUCCCACUUCUACAAAACCACCCUUCAGACCACCAUUGCUCCAGCCAUGGAAGCAAUGUAGUGAAGGCCCAUGAGUCCACGUGGGAGCUCAGGCAGGGAGGAGGAGGAGGAGACCCAAGUGGCUGCUUUCUCAGUGCUGAGGAUGAUGUGCCCUGCUGCCAUGUGCCAACACCUGCACUGGGCUCCUCCGUCUCCCAUGGGGGUCUCAGCACUGUGAAUCACCACAGCCAUCCCUGCACCACAUCCUCCAGACAGAGCCACGCUGCAGCUCAGGGCAUUCCAUGAAGAAAUUGCUUUCUCAUGACUAAAUGUCAGCAUAGAGAAUGAAUGAAGAAAGACCACAAAUUUACUUAAAAUCUGCAACCGACUCCUCAGCGCAGAGGAAAGACUGGCAUCAGUGUCAUGUCCUGAAGCAGUGUCAUGUCCUGAAGCAGAUGCAGGAAGAACAAUUACUUGUGUUCACAGUAUCCUUAAGGUUGGAAAAGACCACCAGCAUCAUCUAACCCAACCGUGUAGGGGCAGUCUGCUCAGACACAUCUCUUGUCUAAGAGCUUCCAACUUACUGCAGUUUCCUUAUCCUCGUGCCUAAGGGACAGCACCAGGGACACCAAGGCACACAGUCCUUGUAGGCAUGGCUGGCUGCCAGCCACCCUUGUUCUCUGGUUAAUAGAGGAGCACAUGGAACCGUUGUAGGUAACAUGACCACUGCACAAUCCCGUCAUAGCCAGAAAUGUUUCAGCUGCAUCACUGCUAUAUAUUUUCUUUCCUGCAGCAUCUUAUUUGCCCUUGGUUGUAAGAGGACUGAGCUGAUGUUAGCAUUGUUUUCAAUUCUUCAGCAAAAAUAUUGGUGUUUUUCUUAAGAAAAAGGCAUGAGUGGACGAUGUAGUUUUGACUGAUCUGAUAAUAAGUAUAGGAGAAAGCACUCGGUGUGGUUGCAUUGCCCUUUUGUCCUGGGCUGCAGAUGGUCAGUGAAGCUGUGCUCACCCCUCCCAGGUGCUAACACUCAGCCUCUGCUGGGCAGAUGAAGCACAGCUGGGUAAUGAGCAGGUCCUGAUGGGCAGUGUUUGUUGGCCUGUGAACCUACCUUGCCUAUUUAGGGACCUGACCCAAACCUGGGAGCUCAGAAACGUGGUGCUCUCAGCUGUAGCCAUUCCUCUUCUUUAAAUUCAGUAGGCGUGCCUUUGCCACCAGCAGCAUCCUUGGAUUCCAGGCACCAUUCACAUCCUGCUGUUUGGGAAAUGGUCAUUGCCACCAGUCUGGGAAGAAUGUAUUUCUGCCCUUCUGAUAACCCACCAGAGGUCCCCUGAGGGCUGGGAUUCACGUUGCUUUCUGCCCUGAGGCUGUAAGAAACAGCAGUUUGGUGAUUUCCUUGGCUCUGUGUUGCUUGCCACUGGACCAGCUGGCACUGGAUGAAAGAGAGUGGCUGCACAUCUUCCUGCUCCUGGUGGUUGGGACUGUUAAAAGUCAGCCCUGUGCCACGGGUUGCCCCAGCUCUUCAGGUGAUAACCUGCUUCAGCAGCAGCUGUGCACAGAAUUUAUUGGGCUGCAGCUGGGAAUCUUUCUCUUUGAUCCAUCUCUGCUAUUAAACAGCUUGUGAUAACGCCACUGAGCUCACAUCGAGGAGGGGAAGCCGAGCAACCUCAAUAUUGGAGCUGAGCAGCAGUGGGGUGCCCAUCUUAAAGCUGCAUCACCUCACUGUCUUCAAAAGCAAAGGAGCUCCUUUUAUAGCAGCGAGCUGCUCUCCAGGAAUGAUUAAAGUCUCGUAAACGAGCACCUUCCUCAUCACAGAGCUGUCUGCUGACGGGGUGCCAAGUACAACAAGCCCAAUCCAAAGCAUCAUCCCCUCCAUGGGGCUAAUUGUUGUUGCCUUGUCUCUUGAACAAGAAGAGUGGUAAGGGAAAGCAGAGCCUGGAGACACACGCACAUCCCUGUACAGAAAUAACCCCUGAAAUAGAACUGACAAGCAAUUGAGGAGUCGGCCUGUGGGCUGCAGACAAAGCACAGAGCAAAGGAGAUAACCGGCAGUGAGCACUGGGAAAUAAUGCCCUAAAUUCCCUCUGAGCCCAUUCAUCACCGUGGCUUCGGCGAUCAUCUCAGCAACAAAUUCCCCUAUCAUCCAGCUGGAAUUCGAUGUUAAUGACCUGUCUGUUAUUUCAGGGGGAGAUGGACUGGAACCGGUGGGUAAUUGGUAGGAAAAAUCGCCGGGUACAGCAAAGAGCUGAUGCUACUGGAGUCGUUACACCACGAGAGAGGGAGAUUAGGGAGCUCUGCUUACCACAAGGGGCUUAUUCAUCCUGAAUAAAUGCAUUAGCUGCCCAGAGCUGUCCUCUUAUGCCCUUGUUCCUGUCUGGUGGCAUCUCCCCACCACAGCUUUUCCCAGCAAACAGCAGAGAUGCAGCCCAGAAGAAGCUGCUAGAAUCAUAGAACACCCAGAGCUGGAAGGGACCCAUAAGGAUCAUCGAGUCCAACUGCUGCUGUUGAGACAAUCACAGUAAGGAAUAACCUGCUCUCUCCAAGCUCACACUGAUGUAUACGUUUAUUCUGGAGUUCUCUCAGGAAAGACCAUAAUUACUCUAAUUUCUUAAUUACCGAAAUUAUUCAGAAUGACUCUGCAAACACCUCUGCCCUGUAACGUUUUGCACGAGCAGCCUCCCAGAUUGCAGCAGCGUUAGGCUUUGGGUUCCUUCCUCUGCUGGAAGGAUUUGCUGCGUUCAUUGCCAUUUCUCCUUGCCAUCACGUUAGCGGGGCAGCCUGCAGCCCUCACCAAAAAUAGGAUAACUGGAGAGCAUCAGGGGAGAGCUAGAAGCAAGUCCAGAGGUAAAGCCUUGGCUCUGUUGCAAAGGAUAGCUUUGCUGGGACUUGAUGUCUGUGCUUUUUCUCAACAGUUUCCCAUUCCCAUCUUGCUAACGGGACCAGCACCAGUCAUGUUUCGGUGAGCACACCUGCUUUAUAAAUUAGCUCCCAGGAGUAUUUGCAAAAACAGAGCUGAACUGCAUGGCCACGGGACUGGGUUUGCUGCAGAAAUACCAGCACGUAUUCAUAAUAAAGCAGCUGCACGCUUUGCCCAGCUCUGUCUGUAACUUCUCGUCAUGUCCUGUACCUUUCUGGGCAGAAAGAAUGGGUGGUAGUGGUGGGAAAAUUGCAAAAUCCUCCUUGGCUAGAUGAAGCAAUUAUUUUUGAUGCAGAUGGGGCUGCUUUUAACCCUACGUAUUCCAAACAUCUCUGUAUAACCCUAUGGGUUCUCCACCGUUGUAGGCAGUGAUGGAGAAGGAAAAAAAUGGGUGAGUAGGAUUUAACACCCAGCCAGAACUGAACUGUACAACACCCGACUGCAGAAGGGUUGGUUCUAUGCCCUUUAUGCACAGUAGGCACCGCUGCUGCCUGUCCCCAGCAUGGCACGAGUUGGGGACCAUGAGUGGUGAGGACCUCUUGUGGUGCCUCUCCCUGAGCUGCAGGCACAAAGGUUGGAUUUCUUCCCUAUGGCUGCGUGAAGAGCUGCUGACUGCUCCACCAGGAACUGAGGCAAUAAUCCCAGCUUGUUGUUCUCCUUCUCAUGGGAGACUUCUUGUGCAAAAGAAGCAUCAGUAGAAUGAAUCAAACGCUGCGGUAGUGGCCCCAUUCCCACGUGCUCUGUGUGCUCUUCCUCUCGACUCACCGGUGAGGAGGCGGUAUCAUGGGGAGGCUGUUCUGAAAAUGCUUUUAAUUGAUUUAAUUCAUAGCUGUGUUGGAGCAGGAAGGUGUUCCUUCCUUGUGCCCGGGAAUGGCAGAAUGUCCUCCAGCUGCCCCCAGAGAUGCAGCGCUGUGCCUGGGUAGCACUGUCUUGCUGCUGGCCAUCCAUGCCAAGCCUGGGAAUGAAAGCUUUGGCAACAGCCUGGACCAAGCUCUGGUAUCUUCCUUAUCGAGAAGCAUGCUGAUUACUGCAGACAAAUUGGAGAUGAACUUGCCUCUAGAGCCCAACGUGUUUGUGAAAUGAAUUGCAGUUACAUGGGGAUUUAUUAUUUCUGCAAAAGAGGCUUUCUUAUCAUGAUUUUUCCUUCCAUCUUGGACUCAUCGCUACCAGACCAGGAACCUUCAAACAGAUGUGUUUGGAGCCUUGAUGUGGGCUCACAGUGGCUGGGAAUCUUCUUGUUAUUCCUACGAAAAACAGACUCCAGCUGGAGGGGAAGAAGAGCCUCCAGCAUUAGAGAUGACCUAAACAGCACAUGUUGCAAAUGAGAUGGGAAGUGGAGAACUGCUUGAAACAUCUCUGGCCCUUUCAGCAGAACUGUUUUCCCUUUGCCUUCUCAAGGCUGAGCUGCAGACAUUGCAAGAAUGACCCCAGCAGACUGCUGCUGUUUCUGUUUUGCAUGUUCACAAGGCAGCUUCUGAAAUAAGUUUGCACACUGUUGAUCUUGCACUGGACAGCCUCACAUCAGGUGGCAGGGAAGCCCUUGCUCAUGCUGCCCUGACCCUGCUGCUCUUACUUCCCAUGCUGAUGCAUCAGUGCAUGAUGUGGCUGGAAAUGAGGUGGUGCAGGGUGGUCUCCUUGGGUUUUGCAGCUGAAAUAGGUUACUGAGCUCCUGAAGGCAUCCACCAGGAUUGCUAUGGCCUGGAACAGCCCUAGGAAAGAUGCUCUGCUUCAAGCUGGGGUUGUGCUGGUGGUGGGAGCUGGGGAUUUCAAAUCUUCCUACAGUUGGAUAUUUCAACCAAUGGCAUAAAUAAUGGAAAGCCUUCCAAAAGAAUGCCAUCCUAAGGGCUGUUCCCCUAAGAAGAAAUGCAGGUCAGGAAAUACAUUGGCCAUAUGAGUUUGUGAGUCCUUUCAAUUGUGAACAGUGCACUAAUCAAGGUUUGGCUAAUGGGUAUGCUGGGAUAUGCACACAGAUAUGCUCUUCUUUUGAGUCUUUCUCUUUACCUUUCAACCCCUGAAAUCAUCCAAGCUGCUAACACUCUGAGGAGGAUGAUGCAGCAAAAAUAAUAGGUUUAGCAAGAAGCAGAAAAAUGAGAUUAGCAUCUGUUUUUCUGGGAAAAAUAUCAACUUUUCCUGCUUAGAAAAUGAAUGGGUUGGAAACCAGCUUGUAAAACUCGAAGCCUGACUCAGGCACUGAUUUGUCACGGGGCUGUCACCUGCAGUCACUGUUAGAGAGGAGCCCUCAAUGUUCUGUCCAAAAGGAACGAUUGCUGUCUGAGUUAUUGAUGGAUUCGUAUGUGGGGAAGAGCAAAUCCUGGUCAAGCUGGAGGACUUUUGCACACAUUCAGCAGCGAGUGAGUAAAGUUAGUGGAAUACAGAACCAUCCCUGCUCGCUGCAGAGCAGCCCCCAAGGAGCACAGUGAUAAAUGAAUUGCAGAAAGCUUGGAGCUUCAACUCGGCCAGGGGAAAUAACGCUGUGUCUAUCUGAUCUCUGCAAACCUGGCUUUCCACUUAUGUGCCUGAUGAUAAAUCAGCAGUAAAUGUGCUUAGGUUGGCACGCCAAGUUUUUCCCUGGAUGCUGUUCUGUAGGCACGCACUUUCUUCACCACAAGAGUCCAGAUCUGGUGCAGAAACCACAAGCGUGGUACAGGCAGGCGGCAUCCCAUCCCAACACCGUUGCAUUGCCCUUGGCCUGCCAGCCAGAGCCAGCCCAGCACAGCCAUGAGAGAAGGAUGGCAGGCGCUCCAGGAGGACCUCUUCAAACUGCAGAGAAGGGCUGGAAGUAAAGCUGAAGUUGCGUGGCAGGAUGCAGGAGGCGGAGCAGUGCAUUGAGUUGCAUGACGCCAGGCAGCAGGAGGUGUGGGCUGCCCACUACCUGUUCCUGGACAGCAUGGCCAGGAGAUGGAGAUAAUCCCUCUCACCUCAUAGUGCACUGCUCUUCCACAUCAUUCCCCUGCUCCUACUCAUACCUCCUCAUGCCAUCCAACAUAUUUCGUCCCAAUCCUUUGCCUUCACACCCUUGAAACCCUUCCAGGCUGCUAUAGUGUCCCUUUCUCCAACUCACCUCUCCAAACCAAGCCAUACCCCCAGGCUCCAGUCCCAUCCCAUAAAUCAGUCUCUCCAAGGCCCUGACCGUAUUCUGAGAUUUCCAGGGGCUGUGCGGCUCCUCCUGGGCUCACAUCUCUUCUCCCUGCAACAAUAAAAGGCUGGAGACACGCAGCGGGGUGAGGCUCGGGUUUCUGGGCUCGUUUUAUAACUGGUGCUGGGGAUGCUUUGCGCGGAGCCCUCCAUGCGGUGAGGAAGCGGGGCAGGACAUGUCGAGCAGAUGGCAAUUCUGGACUGCAGAUGAGGGCUGAGUUAUGGCGCUCGCAGCACAUCUUUGAUACACGUCCAGCUUUUAUCAGAUGGUUCCACUCAGUGUUUGGCACAGCUGAUGUGAAGGGAAGGCCGAGGAGCAGACCUGCAGUGGGAGCAGCCCCCCAUCCCUAGGGCUGUCCCCCUCUGUGCGCUGAGCUGGGACUUCCCCUGCUUCUCCCACUCCUCCGGUACUGACACAGCUUUAUCCUGCAUACAAAACUGCUGAUAUGCUUAAAGCUCCCCUAGGCUGCACAGGCUCUUCUCCCUUUGCCACAUCAGCGCGUGUUGCAAGCAGCUGGGAGGAUGGAGAGCAUGUGAGCAUUUCUUGGAGCUAGAAGGCUCCGCUCCUCGGGUUUUGGCUUCAGAUGACCCACUCUUCUAAUACACUCUGCACUUAAUUCACUCUUGCCAGUGCAAAUGCUCUUAUUUAUGAGGUUGGUAAUCACUUUCUAUCAACACGCUCUGGAAGUCUGCUUCACCCACAGAACAUUCCUUCAAUAAAUCCUCCCCAUGAAUAUUCCCAGCCCAAGCUGAGCCCAACGCCUACUUGUGGUGUAGGAGAUGCUUUCAAAGGACUCUCACUGAGUUGGGUUGGCUUAAAGCACACCUCAAGCCUUGAUGCAAGUGGACCCAGGUAAGCUCACAAGAAGGAAACCCAAGCCUUUCCCAAACUCCUUGGAAACACUGAGUUUGGUGUCUUCUUCCUCCUUAACUUAAAAGCCAAGAAAUGUCUGUGCAGGAGAAUCAAUCACAUCACAAAGGAACCUUCUGGAUCCCAUGAAUGCCCAUUCUUUAAGCCUUAGAAUUUUACCCAUCCCCCUUUCAGGAGGGAAUGCAGAUAUGUUUUCCAUUGGAAAUAUCCCCAGGGUCUCAUGCCUCAUGCUGAGCAGCAAUCCCUGUGUCAAUUAAAAUGUGUUAUUCUGUUGAGCUCACCCUUGGGUCGAGCCAUAGGGCAGCAGAGGUCCAUGCCAGGACAGCGCCAAUGAACACAGAAUGGAGCAUCUUUAGCUCAGAGCUUUCUGCUCUGUAUCUUUCAGCUCCUUCAUGGACCAACCAGAGCCCAUAUUGAUGCCAUUUACUCAGCUGUCAAGUGGGUUUUUUAUCCUAAUGCUCCACGGUGGGGAAAUAGGAACCUGCAAUGAACUUGCUUCAAAUCGAGACAUAUUUAACUCGAAUAAACCAGCGGCCGGGCUGAAUAAACACUGCAGGCACUUCAGAAAGGAUGUUAAGUUGACAUAAGAUCUGUUGGGUGAGUUCAAGAAAUGGGAGAUUUGAUGCUGAAGUCAUAAAUCUGCUGGGUUAAAAGGGGGAUACUGCUGAGCUCUGCAUCUCAGUGAGAGACAAAGGCAGGAUGUUUGCUGUCCCAGUCUGUGGGCAGCAGGUUUCUGUCCUAUGGCAGCUGCUGAGGAGUGUGGGCUUCAUCUCCACCGCUCUCUUCAAAGCCGAGCAGGUUUUGCUGACAAAAGCUGGCACACGGACAUCAUGAAGAGCAAUGAAGAGCAGGGCUGCUGUGCCAGUGUUGCUGGUUCCAGCUGGGACAGCCCCAUGAGUUGCUGGGAGCUGAGGCAGCACUGAGCCCCUUGGCUCUCCGGAGGCACUGUGGCAGGGAAACAGCUCUCUGUGUCCUUUUCCAAAGCACAAGGAUAUGGGUGCAGCUGCAGAAACACGUAUUGCCCUCAGACUGUACUCUGCAUGGAGCACCCGCUGGUACCCCAUCUCUGAAGGCACACUUGGGAGCCUGAAACUGCAUUUGGCCCCAAUCUGAGUAGAGCAAAAUCGUGUGCAGUACUGAAGUCCCAUUUAAUUUCUUAGAGUUGUUGCAAUGCUCCUAGGGUUGGCACAACUCAGGCUGAGUGGAAAGGAAGGUAUGGAUGUGGCUACGGUUUCUGCCUCCAGCUCCAGCUCUCAGGUCUUGAGGAAGAAGGUUAUGCUUCCUCUGUCCAGUGUGAUGCAUCUGGGGCUGCUCUGAGCAGAACACGCGCCACGUCCCUGUGUGUUCGCUGCCGGAGGGACUCAGUGGGUCAAGGGGUGAGAGCUUACCCCAGCCUGAGCUGAAGGAUCGCAGAUGUUUCAUAUUUCUGCUCCAAAGAGAGGGAGAGAGAAGCUGCAGAGAAGACUGCAAUAUUUUUUUUCAAUACAUUCCAUAUGUUUCCUCCAUAAGUCAUGAUUAAAAAGUGGUGCUGGUCCAAAUAGAAAUAAGCCUGCAGGCUUUUCUGCUGCUUUUGGAGGAAGAAGCAGACUCAGUCUGAUUCACCCCUAAGGGGAGAAGGGCUCUGAGCUGACUUGAGAACACGUUUCCAUUGGACUUGUCAUCCACGCUGUCCCUGCUCCCAGCAUUGCUGUUGUCUUGGCAAGAAGCACUUCUCAGCCCUGGCUCCAGCUUCCUGGUGGAAUACACCAAAUACUUGUCCCCAGGUGCCUGACAUCAAUGCAGGGUGCACAACCCAUUGUUACGGGACCAGAACACACAGGGACUGCAAAUGACUUAUUUCCUUGCUACCAUUUCCACUCUGCUCGCUGAGGUCCAAACACUGCAGAAAAAAAUGGCAGGUUCGGAGGGAGGAGGAAAACCCAGCACCCACGAGGGGAAGGAAUUUGCUCUCUCCAAAAGGCCACGCUUGGUAUAAUUAUGCCAGCCAAACGUGCACAGAAGCCUUCAGCAAUUCCUGUGGUAAUCGUUUCAUAUGUGUGGGAUUUUUUAGGCUGGAGCAUAAUUACGGCUAAUUGCUGUUUGAUUUUGUUCCUGUUUAUAUAGCCAGUAAGGGAGUCGUUGAAAUGUCUUUACUGAAAGACUUUCUCCCUUCCUUUUCCUUCUCUUUUUCUUAAAUCAUCCUGGAAAAGAAAAGAAGGGAUCGUGUUGCAACACGGUGAGUUGUGAAUGGCCAUCAGCUGUCCAACAUCUCACAGCAAAGAGCCACGUUCAGGACUGAUGUUUUCCCAGCACUGGGAACUGAUGGUGCGCUGAUUUGCAGAACUAACGAGGACUUGCAAAGAUCUUGGCUGUUGGUUAAUGAAACCCUCCUGGGCAGGAGGCUGAGGCUGAAUUUAUCUGGGGAGAUGGGAGGAUCUGGACUGCUUCUUGCAGUCUGUUCACUAGAGCCCACGGAGAGAGAAGUGGAGCUGGUGGGGCUCAGCACAGCUCCACCACCAGGAGCUCCUCUUGGCAUGGCCAUUGCCUUUGUCAUGCCUGGUUAUCUUUUCUCAGCCCUGGUUCUUAACAUAGUUGUCCCACAGCAUGACUCAAUGGGAAUUAGGCAUCAAGUUUGCUCUGAAUGUUGGGAGUUUCCAUGUUCAGAUGGCCUGCAGUGAAGCCAGAAGCCAGAUGAUCCCUACAUCGACCCAUCCAAACAGACCUAUAUGUCUUUGAGGCUUUACUUUUCUUUUGGAAAAUUGGCUGUAUGUUUGGGUGCUUGCGCUCACGUUGCCUUUAAACGCAUCCUACCUCACUUGAAUGCAAUGUUCCUCCAGAUGGAGGAGAGUCAGCAGCUCACGGAGGCUGUGAUAUUCUCAUUCCUGAGCACUGCAUCCUUCAGAGGGGACCGAGAACACACGAAAACUCUCUUGGCUGUGGUCAGCCCUCAGCAGCUGCCCCAGCCCCGUGCCAGACACACGCUGGAUUAGAGGGUGCAGGGUGCUGUUGCUAUGGGACAAGGUGGAGGGAGCAGGCAGGUGCCACUCGUAGCCCUCUGCUAUGGAGAAUGCAGAUCUUGUUUGCUCUGCUUUUUUUUUCUUCUUCUUUUUUUCCAUUUUAAUGCUCUUUCUAUCUGGCUUCUGCCUCUGCUCCAGGAAGCCAAAUUAGCUCAUGGUCUGAGGCUCCAGCACUGAAUAUAAGCAGAAGCAAGCUGACAUCAGCUUGAAAUAGAAGCAGUAAUAGAGCUGUUUACUGUCAUGUUUCACUUUGACGAUUCAAAGGAGCAGGAAACAAUCCCAGGGCAUUGGGCACUCACACAGCCACCAAAAGCGCAUCCCUGAACCCAACUGAAUCCAUCACAAAGGCUCGGGAGCAGCAAAGUGGGGGGAGUUUUAGUGCAAGCGUGCCCAGAACACUUUAAAAUCCAUCAGAUUCUUUGCCCAAACACCAUCUCUGUGUGCUCUGAACCAACAGAGCCAGGAAUCUGGUAAACCAAGCACUUUGGCUGUGCCUGGGCUGUAGCCACACAAGUGUAAGACAUCACCUACAUCCUUCACAUGGUGUUAAUUAACAGCUAUGUAUGGGGCUGUGCUUCUCAGCCUGACCGAAAGCUGGAAGCCCAAGUCUCGAAUUCUCCCGGCCAGGAUGCAGCAUUUGCUCAGGGAAUACCAAAGAAAGAUGGAAAAGCAGCCCCACAGCUGCCUGCUUGUGCCUUGGGCAGAGCCCUUGUGGCUGCUGGUUGUCUCUGGAAGCUGCUGCCUCCCCCUGGCACUGCACUCUGCAUGGUAUGGAGUGUAUUUUUAACUAGGAAGAUAAUGAGACAGUGGCAGCUCCUCCCUGCAAUUCUGUGUUUGGAAAAUUUCAGCCACGGUGCUUGCAGGUUAAAUAGCAGGCAGAAGGAGAAUGAGCUCUUGAUUAAAAUAUGUCUAGACAGCCUUCUGUGUUUUUAAGUCCUAAUUUAGAGGACCGAGGUAGGAAGGGAUUUACAUCAUUUCCAACAUCUGACCCGUUGUUUCUGAUGGUGGUAAGACAGCUGGCACAGCCAGCCCUCACUUUUACCUGCAGUCUCAGGACAUUCAGUGACUGCAGCCACGUGUGUGGCUAUGGAAGAACUCUUCUUUUGUGACAACAGGAAAUACUCAUUUCUAAUGGUCGCAGAGCAAGUGAGACCCAUAUGAACGAUAUUAAGUUUGGCGUUCCAAGCCAUCUCAUGACUUUGAAGGCUUAGUCUAGGCCUUGGGCACGCAUAUACUCCACUGCAAUUAUCACUGGCACUUGGCUUGAUUUGGAAAUCAAGCUCCGUAAGAGUCCUGUCACUAAAAGCUGUCUCUGAGCCUGCAGUUUCCAACCACCACCAACACAGCUCUGACAAUCAGCUCCAGUGCUUUCAGCAUUUGCACCACUCAGCCACGCAUUUGGCUCCAAGGGCUCAAAGCGACGCGAGCUCACUGUCAGACGCAGUGUGAUGGAAGGGCUCUACAGCUGUUGCCCUCACAUUUGAUAGCCAGUGUUGGCUUUGUUGGGAAAAGAGGAACUGAAACUCUUCAGACUCUACCAAAAACAAGAAGCGACAUUUGGGUGUAUUUUGAAGAAAUACAGAGAAAAGAGGUAUUGGACUGUUUGGGCACCAAAUUGCUUCUGCCAAAAUGUAUAUGUCCUGUGGCAGCAGAUUGCAGUGCCACGAGGCAGGGAGCUGCUGGGCAGGGCUGUGUGCUGGACCACGGGCAGCAGGUUUCCACAGGGCUGCUUGGAAGGGCUCUGGGGAAUCAAAGCAAGGAGAAGGAAGGGAGACACCAACCGAGUAAAGACUGACUCAGAAUGAACCCCCAGAAGGGCUCUAAGUGCAACACUGCAGGACCUUCUUGACCCUUUGCAAUUGUUGCCGUGACCAGAUGCAUUGAAAAGGUGACAGGGUAAGAAAAGUGAAGACUUUGGAUUUGAAAUGAUUUGGAUUCCGUUAACUUUAGUGCCUCCUUCUCCAGAAGGACUCCAUCCUCUGAGUGUGUAAGCAGGAUCAGGGUGAGGAUGGCACUGUGCAUCUGGAAUAGCACUUCACAGUGGUUCUGUGGGGGCGGUGGGACUUGGAAACUUAAUGAGAAACACAAGCUUGCAGAAAGGGGGUGGGAAACCGGGUUAGAGAUACAGCAGGGCGGUUUGCAUUCAGAUCGCGGGAACUGAGUAAGUUUCUGAGCUAGAGAUGUUGUCAGCUCCUUAAUGACUUCUCCAUCCAUCGCCCAUUACGUUGGGUCCGAUGCACUUAAGAUGUGAGUCACUGCUCCAACCCUCACAGGGUGACAGGACCCGGGGGAGCACAUGAGAGGUGCUCAUUCUGUGGGUGGCUGCUCUGAGCUCUGUCUGUGUCAUCACAACGGGAUCAUUCUAAACCAACAGAACCCCAGUGUGUUGCUACGGGCAGGGCAGCCCAGGCCAUUAGGCAGGGCUUUAUUUUUGGAUCUGGGUCUUGCUUUCAAGCUUUCGGCAUCCUACACUUCUUUCAGCUGGGGAUGGUCCCAUUUCCAAGAGGGGAGCUCAUUUGAGAGGCAGACAAUCUUCCCAUAGCCAUUGCCACUUGGCUGUCUGCAUACUUCAGCCCAUCACUCUCCCUGCUCCCAGUGAGCAUCUCUGUCAUCUGAAAGCUCAGAAAUCAAACUUUGAACUGAAUAAAAGCCCCUCCCCCUCCAACAUUGACUGAAAUACUCUUUAAAAACAAAUCCUUAUAUAUUCUAAACUCAAAAACAUCUGGGUUUCCAAGCCCCAGGAAAUUACAGCUCCCAUUCUGGAAAUAAAAUACAUGUUUGUCCAUAGAUUGCAUUAAUUAAACCCCAUAAUAUGGAAAGAAGCCGGUAAAAUUCUUUCCUGAUGGCUGGCAGAUUUGCAUAGCAAUUUCUCAUAUUGCUCAUUGCAAUUAUUAUUCUUAUUUAAAGGGUGACGUUUUCCUCCAUGUCAGUGCAGGAUAGGAAGAUCAAGAUCUCUCUCAGUGACCAAGGGAGAAGAACUUUUGGUCCACGUGCGUGUCUUGCAGUGGGGGAUCCCAAAUGAAGCCCCAAGUCCUGCAGCUCCUGGAAAUGCCACAUCAGAAACAUUCCUGCUACUGGGAAAAACACUUUGAAGACCGGGAAAACUGCAGACUUCAGUUGUUCUUUGUGGCUUCUGCAAUUUUUUCCUGGUGAGGUACAUUGCACGGAAAACCGUCGUGCCCGAUGUGGUCAGCAUUCUUAUUUACCAUAAGCAGAGCAGUUACACAUUGUUAAAUUAUUAUUAGCUUAGCUACCACUGGGAGGGUUGCCUCAGCCCUGCCAGCAGGGCUGAAACAAAUACCCACUGUUGCACACAGUCAACCAGCAAUGAGUUGCAUGGAUGCCCAGAACAUGUCUUGCUGCACGGCUGUCCCCCCAGGCAGCAGCCCUUGAGGAACACAGGCUGAGCUGGGAUCUCUUGCAAUGGGAUGGGUUGAACGUGUGGAUGCUUUGGAGCUGAAUCUGAAUGUUCUCAGUGUGAGCCUUCGUUCACCCGUUGUGUCAGCCCAUCCAAAGCUGAAGAAUUCACUGCCAAAGGAAAUCUGGAGCUAAAUUCUCAAUUCCAAGCUCUGACGCUGGCAAUAUUUGCACCAAGAAACCUGACAAAAUUCAGGAAGUUUUUUAUGGCCGAUUCUUUCUGCCUGGAUAGAGCUCAUGCCAACAACAAUAUCAGCUCUGUGAAAGAAUUUUAUGGUGUUUUGCUGUGCCUGUGCCAUGGGAAAAAGGGGCAAGGAUGGAUUUUACGGGGUGUUUGUAGAAGGACGAAGAACAUCAUCCUCACCCAAAGGGCAGCCAUCAAAGCAAAGCUGUGGCAGCAGGCAGUUCUGCUCAGCCUGAACGUGCAGGGAGCAUCCCAUGGCUGGGAGGUGACUGCAGCCUCCACAGCACUGCUGUAGGCAGACAGCUGAGACGUGGCAUUCUGCACAAACCGGUGGCUGACUCCAGGCUGGGCUGCAUCCCCCAUCCCAGCACCUCAACACUGACCCCCCCAGGAUUGCUCAGCAAUUAACUGUGCGCUCCACGGGUGAAAUGCGUGAAGUCUUGUGACAGCCACCUCGUCCCACAAGGCAGGGGGUGCUGAGAAAGACAAAACAACCCGCUCCCUCUCCUCUCUCAUUAAAGCAAAUGUCAUCGGCUGUGAUCAGCCUCUGUGUACAUGCACACAGCCAGCAGGAGAAAAUCAAACAUCAAAAGGGAAAGAAAAGAAAAAGAGACCCGAACAGGAUAUUGACAUCAUUGGGAGCUCUGCGAAUGGAGAUGAAAUGUAAAAUGAAGUUGCAAUCUGGCUGAUAGAAGUUGAGGACACGUUAACCCUUGGGCAGACCCGCUGCUUGCAGGGGUGGGAGGAGAGCUGCUUCCAUGGGCACCUGGGCUGCGAUUUGCUCUGGAAUGUGGGAGGAAUCUGACACCCAAAUUGCUUGGGAAGUUGGACACGUCCUGCCAUGGGCUGCUCGGGAAUUGCCAGUUCUCAUUAAUCUCUGCUGUGGAUCUGACAAGUCAGCUGGAGGGAAAUGGUUCAUUUCAUUUUCUUCUCAUCGAGAUUUUCCCACCGCUCUUUCCCUCCCCGUCUGUCCCACUGAUGAGGCAAGAAAAGGAUGACAAAGCAGAAAGCGAGGGAAGAUGCAGGGUGAACGUUUCCGCCGGGAUGUUUAAUGAUGAGAAAGGAAAGAAAGCACCAAAAGAAGUUCCUGACGGAAAAUUCCUCGCAGCUUUCAUGUCACAGCCCCUGACCUUCAGCUGCCCAUAAACGCCCUGCAGCCACCCCCAGCACGUUCCCAGCAGCCCGGUGGGGCUCUGCAUUGAGCCACCCUUCCACCAGCAAAGCUCAGACUGGGAAUUCAAACCCCAAAUCCGGCUGUGGGGUGCCAGCAGCCAAACACAGCCUGGUUCAGCACCCCGUGCUCUGGUACCCCAAGGGGCCAUCAUUCACCACCACAUGUGAUGUGUGGUGUGGGCACACACCUUCAGAAACCCUCAAAACCAAAUAAGAUAUCACUGUCGAUAGGAGUUCUGUGAAUAGAGAUGAGGUAUAAAAUCGAAACAAGUAUUUCCUUAUGGUCUUUUUUGUUUAUUUACUUGGGGAAAUAACCAUGCACGGAGCUGGCAUUAAGGACUGGCUUUUCAGGCACAUUUUUAGCUAACAGAAUAAAGGGAUUUAUUUCUGCAGUGAAGAAACAGAGGAAUAACUUGUAAAGGCACUGUAAUUCCAUCCAUUUGGAGCUGACUGUAGCUCUGAAGCAGCCGCAGAUAACUUAAGAUGUUGCAAGUUCAGAAGGGAUUUUUAUCUCUCUGUUUGGAGAAGCAUCGCCUUGACUUCAUCGGCACAAUCUCAGUGUGAGGCUGUAGUUUAAAUAACAGGAAGGAAGAGCGGCUGCCCCGGGUCCAAGUUUGCCCCAGGAUUUGGGAUAAAGGCCGGGCUGCCAAGCAGGGGGUCCCAAACCCCAUAGCAGCCCCAUCCCACGUGCUCUGGGGCUAUGGAGGGAUGCGGGGGACGGUUGGAUCAGAACAUCGCUGCCAUCCAGGGGAUCUGGGCAUGAAGUGUACAGGGAAGCCCUGAUGGAAGAAAACAGAGCAAUGCCAUGCUGAGCUUCCCAGAGCAGAGCAGGGUGAGCAGGUCCUGGCCCUGUGCUGCAGCCCCACUCAGACCAGUCUAUGUCUCGGUCGCUGUCUGCUCCCUGUGCCAGCUGUUAACCAGCACCACUUGCUCGGCCUGAGCUGACCCAGCCAAUACCUGGAAUUAAUGAAACAAAAAGGCCAUGAAGCAAGGAGCUGUUGUUACCUAAUGUGUCUCAUCCCCUGAGCAACGUGUCCAUCAGCACGGUGCUGCGCAUCAGGAGGGGAAGGCGAUUUGGGUGCCUCGCUGUGUGCUCAGCAGCUCGGAUCCCCUCUGCUGCUUCACCUUUCUAACCUGCAUCUCUUCUGCUGUUUUUAUAGAAACAGCCUCAAUUAUUCCCACCCUGUUCUAGCAGGCCUAGGGCCAAGCUGCUUAGCUGCAGGUUUUCCUGCUCGUGAACAGCAAGCAACACCUAUCCACGCAAUGCAGAAGAAGCAUCCCAGUGGGUUUGCAUUUGCACUUUGCUAAAGACAGUGCUUUUGGGGCUGAAUUUCACCCAGGAGAGGCAGCAGGAGACUCUGCAGUGCUCAGCACCGGGCAGGAUCGGGGCUGCACAUCACUCUGCCACUCAGCCCUGGGAUCCCAUCUGUGGGAUAGCAUAGGGCCGGUGACACGGGACUUAUGGAGCUGUGUGUUUCAACAUACAUUUUCCAAAAGCUAUUUCAUACGUUCCAUCACGCCGAGUAAUGCGCUGGAAACCAUCCAGGCUUGGGGAUGUUUCUGUAAACGCAUCAUCUCUGCCCUUCCACUGCUUUUGCUGUGAGCAGAGGGGACCCGGUGCUCCCCCCUCCUGCUGUGGGAGCUGGGGAUGCUGCGAGGACCUCUCUGCUCCUUUGCAGUGCAGCCCUUCGUUUUCACUCUGCUUUCACAGCAGCGUUUCAUAUGGUCUGUGUCUUGAUUUCCUAGAAGCAUCCCUGCACUUCUCUGGCUAUGAAAACACCCCCACGAUGUCCUGCACGUACAGACUCAUAUAUGCAGCACACACACCCACUAGAUGGCUGUUUUCUAGCUCUUUAUUUGAUUGAAUUGUUACCAGAGGGAGGUGACAUUUUCUCACAAAGCUUUUUCUACUGCAAAAUUCAGGCUUAAAGACACCAGACUGCUCAUAAAGUGUGUAUCAAACCCGCCUAUUUCAUCAGGUAGAGAAAGCAAAACAUUAGGAGAUAUUCUGGAAUAGCUGGAGAUACACCUAUAGAACCAGCAAAUGGAUAUAUGGGAUGGGUUGAAAAUGCCAGAACUGUUAGGUUGGGAUCUGUUUCUAAAGAAGAAAAAAGAGAGUAAAUCUUGGAAUGAAACCUGGAUGCUUUGUUCAAAGCCAGGCAGAUGUGUUCCAUCUGGGUAGGAGGAGGUAUUCAAAACAAGGCCUGAUUGUUUUCCAGCAGUUUCUAAAUUGCCAAAAAAAGCCAAAUCAGCAUUGGUUCUUACAGUCUGAUAUUCAAAUCCACCCUUAUUGUGCCUAAAACACAAAGUGGCCAUUGCUUGGCACUGGAGGGGCAUGCAGAGAUGUUUUAUAUAGUACAGCGAGCACAGAAUGGCACAUUGCCCUUCAGGGUCUGUUUCAUUAGAGCCAGAAGGAAAGGACAGUAAGUGAGGGUCGUGUUCCUAUUUGAAUCUAACAUUCCACCAAUGUCUUUGAUUGCAUCCAAGCAGAGGUGGGCAUUCUGCUGCGUUUUACUCUCCUGCUGUAAACAUGAAAUAUUACUUUUAAUAGAUCUUUUCCCCUCAGAAAAAGAGGCUGAACACGUGUAAUUAGAGCAACAGGCACGUGUCUGCGUUCAGGGAGACAUCCCCAUAAAGGCAGUUGGCAUUUGAGCAGUCUCGAGUUAAAUCUGAAGGCUGGAUCUAUCCAUCUCCUAUUUUAUCAUGAAUGCUAAUUGGAGUCUGAGGGCCCUUUGAUGGAAGCAACACGGCAAACACAGCGUGUACCACUUCCUCCAAUUUCCAGAAAGCAAUAGGCACGUGAAGUGGACGUUGGGUUUAAUUUAUACUGUGAGAAUCCCUCGCUGCACAAUGCCUCCGUUUCCAGAUAUUAUUAACAGAGCCGGAGCGUCCUUCCAUGUGUGCUGGUGGAAAGGAACGAUAAAUCAAGCAUGCUUCUGGGACGAUUGCAAAACCUCCGUGCAACUUGACUCACAGUCUAAAAAUGUGCUUGUGGAAUGGUUGUGGUUGCAUCACGUAGGUGCUGCAAAGCAAACACCGAUUUGGAGAACCUCCUCUCCCCAUCCUCACUUCCUUGCAGCACGUGGCCAUACGUUUUCUGCCCUCUCCAGGAGCUGCUGGAUACUGAAAGAGCAUCCCUGGGAUCGAUGGUCCUCUCCUUUCUGCUACCACAGCAGCAAGAAGGGAACUCGAACUGGGAUCAAAGAGGUUUGGUUCGGCUCCUGAGAAGAGAAUGAAGAAGGGAAGGGACAGGAGGAGCACAUCUGGAGGCUGGUGCAUGGCUGCGUGGCCUUCCCCUCCAGCGAGCAGCGUUUGGAGAGGAAAUUGCCUUGUGGAUAGCUGAUAUGGGUGUUUGCUCAGGGGGAGCGGUGCGCCCGGGCAGGGAAAGGAAAUUCCUGGAUGCCAAGUCAAAUAUAGGGAAAAGAAAGCAGAUUCUGCAAGAAUAACUAUAUGCUGGAGAGAGAAGUUGAGCAGCCAGUCGGUGGCCGGGCACUGGGUUUGGGCAUGUGGGUGAUGGUCCAAGGGUUGGCAUGCAGCACAUCCCAGUACACCAAUAUCCCAGAAUCCCCACAUCCCCAAUAACCCAACAUCCCAGCACCCCAACAUCCCAGCAUCCCAAUAUGCCAGCACUGCAGCAUUCCAGAGUCCCACUGCAGCCCUUGGGCUCCGCUCGCUGCCCAGCACUGCACUCGGGAACGCAGGCAUGGCCAUUCCAUGUGGCUGGCUCCAUUCUUUUCUGGUUUUUUCCAUUUUAGGAGCUAUCCUGCACCAGCUUCUUUAUCAGUAGUAAAGAAGAAAAAGAAAGGAAAAAGGCACAAAGUAAAAAAAAGCAAAGCAAAACAUAACCACAGCGUUUUCCGUGACCCUUCUCUGGCCUCUGCUUACACAAAAAAAUCCUGGCAUCCAUAAUGAUCAGGCCUUUGAUUGAACGACAUUUUAAUUCGGGAUAUAUUAAAACAGCAUGUUUUCAAAUGAGCGGUCCCAGAGCAGAAGGGGAAGAGCAGGCUCCCCAGAACCUCUCCAGCUUCAGAGUCACAAGCUGUGCCCCAGAUGCCAUCACGGCAGCUUUGAUAGGCAGGCCCCUUGAUUUAAAAUAGGGCAGGGGGGGGGGUUGGCUAAUUGAAACCAUUGUGUUAUGAUAACCAAAUGUCUUCUGCCUUUUGCAUCUCCCAUAGAUGGCAAUGCAUAUUGAAAAAGACAUAAUAAUGCCACGUCCGUUUUCAGGGAGAGAUCAAAGGCUCUCCUGGAAAGAGGAGCCCAGUUGUCCCCCCCAAUGCAUCUGGGCUGCAGACAGCCAGUGGUAAAGGCGACUUCAUUCAUCCGCGGGGCAGAGGAAUGCUGUCUGGGUGCUUUGAAAAGUGCAAGGGCUGGUGGAGGGAGGAAAAAGCUCUGUGUAUGGGAACAGGGUGGAUUUAUGGCCCUCAUGCUGCAAUGGGGUCCUGUGGCUUCACUGUGCAUUUUGGCACAGCUGGCGCUGCAUUACCCAGGAGGCUGAGAGUGGGCUGCAAUGGGAGCAGCAAUCACCCAAAGCAGAGUCAGUGGCACAGAACGACCAAACCCAGGGUGAGCAGCAUCCUUAGUUGCUGCCUGCAGAACGGUAGCCCCGAGCUUCCAAUACGCUCCAUGAAAGCAUCCUCAUGGGGGUUCAUUCUAUCACCCCGUCCACGGUUUCUGGGCAGCUCUGCCCUAUUUGGCUCCAGCUUGAAUUUGGACCAGAGCAGGUGGAUGGAGUGAAGCUGCCCCUGCAGCUGUGGGCAUCCUGCCUUGGUGCAUCAGGAUCAUUGUAGCAAAACGUGCACCUCAUGGGCUGCCCUGAUGUGUUGCUCUGCAGAACAUCUGCAGCUGCCAGCAGGGCUCAGGGUGCCUCCCAGGAUGUCAGGAUGCUGCUCCUGGAGGUACUGUGGAGGAAAAAGGGGCAGGUUUGGCUGAUUUUAGAAGGCAUCUAAUUGCACCAGAUGGUACGGGCAUGUUUAAUUCACCCUCCAGAGAGGCUGACCUGUGAGCCACCUAACGUGGCUUUAUUGCUUUUCCCUGCAUACCCAGCAAAUCUCUGAGUGCAAGAACUCUGCUUUGUUUGCAUGUACAAUGAGACACUGGGAAACACCUGCCCAUCGCUCAGCAGACGCUCAGCCCGCUUGCAAAUACAUUUUAAGCCAUAAUUAAAAUGACAUGCCAUCUUCUCCUCGUACUACACAAGCAGAAGUAUGGCGUAUGGCCUCCAGAAAUCCAGAAUAACUCAAAGCAGAACUGGUUUGUAUGCUUAAUCAGACUGUGUGCUGAAUGCAGAACAUAACAACAACAAAAAAAACCAAUUAAAAAAAACCCAAACAACCCCAAACCUUUAUUAAAUGCACAGCACUGAGUGGGGACUUCUGCUCAACGUUGAUUGAGACAUUGGAAAAUUCAGCCCUCGUGUUUCAUCAGCUGCACUGAAAUACUUCGGUGCAGAUGGACAGAGCCCAGAUGGCAACCUCGGCUGCGGAGCAUCUCUGCCCCAACCAUAUGCUGCUCAGAAGGGGAAGGGAUGCAGGGUUUGCUUCGUAGCUUUGGGACUCGCUGGUGCCACGUGGAGCUCAGAGCUGCUCAUUUCCACCCAACCCGCGCUAUGGUGACACGGUGGGGACGUGGCACUGCUGUCCUGCAGUGGGAAAAAGGCAUGGCAGGGAGCCAGGGAUGCACACACUGCGGCUUUGUGGGGCCACUGAUUGAGGCAGAUAGCGAUGUAAUCGGGCCAACACACACUGUCAGGGGGAGGGCUGUUUGGUACUGCGGGUUGAGCACUUUCUGCAAGAACAGGAGGGCUUUCUUUUUGAGAACACGAGAGCUGAGCAAACACCUCCAGCAGAAGUCUGUAUAAGUUUGAAUCUUGUCUCAUCCCUGAGAUGCUGCUGUUUGCAUGCAUGAAUUGGCCUUCUUUCUUCCUUCCACAGCCUCGUGAGACAUUCCGUGGAAGGUGGCAAGCAUUGGAUGAGUAACAUUUCCCCAUAGUGCAUUAAUCAACGCCUGCUUGGCCAAGCAGCAGUCAGUGUGAGAGGAGGACGAGUUGGGCUCCCAGGCACACGGGGAACUGCUGAGACUCAGAUUGCACACAGCAGCACCACAGCGACAAAGCUGCCUUGGUUCAGCACCCAGGGGCACUGCCACAAUCCCAGCUCAGAGAUGGGAUGGGAGGUAUGGUGUGCAACUCGUUGCUGGUUCCAUGAGAGCUUCUCCAUGGCGCUCACACAGGGACAUAAAAUGUGAGGGGUGGCCUCUGUCCUCCUGGCACCGUGGUUCCCUGAGUGCAGCUCCCUUCCUUGAGCAGGAUCAGAGCAGGGCUUCGGAGGAUCCUACGCAGAGAGCAUCCUCCAAGGACGUGUUUUCAAAGGUACCAUAGGAUGAGAGCUGGGAAAAGCAGAAGGGGCAGAAUCCACUCUUGGUUCUCCAGCAGUUUCCAGCAUGUGGGCACCUGCAUGAUUUGCCAUCGUCAGGGCUCUCCAUCUCCCAAAGGCUGAAUAAUCUCAAGAAAGGGCCCAGGAAGAAGUGAAAUCCUCUCCAGAACGGUCAUUUGCAAGAGUGUGUUUCCAUAACCUUGCAUUGUUACAGCAUCACAAGGAUUUGUCUCCUCUUCUGGCUCCAGCACACAUGUUCCUGGCUCCCAUGGAGGCACUGUGGACAGCCCAUGCCAUACAACGUGCCAGAAACAUGACCUCCCCAUGAACUUUGGGCCAUAUUUUCAAGUCUGCGCCCAGCUCCUUGCAGGCAGGGCUGUCUGGCCAGUGCAUUCUGGCCCUUUUGCAUGGAAAAUGAGCUGUGUCAGCCUUCGUGGCCCACUGGCUUGCCAGCUGCGUCCCUAACAGCACUUUGCAGCCUCCUCCCUCCGUGCUCAACAUGUUGCCUUCACCUGGCACAUGGGACAGCAACGAGGGGACUGUGAGCUUGUCCUCGGUGGCUGGGGCCCAGCUGGCCACCCCCAUCUCCCCACUGCAGCCACCGCACGCUCCUCGAUGCAGCAGAACUCAAUGUACAGCCCUUUUAUUUUUCCUCCUUGGUUUUCCUGUUUCCAGAACAGUUGAAUAUUUUACUUGCAUCGUGCCCCAGUUCCCCAGUUUCCAGCAGGCAGAACAGGGCGAUCUGUACCCACCUCUUGCAGCAGCUGGUGCUUGUUCCCCUGGCAAAACUUCACUUUGGAGCUGAACCCAACAAUGCUGCUGACUCCAACUGAUUCUUUCUCCCCCAGCCUAAGGCACUUUAUGAUGAUAUUAAUAACCAGACACUGAGGUUCAGCACUAAGGAUUUCUUAAGCUUGCUGCUGGGGCUGUGAUUGAGCUUUGUAGCCAUCUCUGCUUCAUCCCAUGAUCCAUCAGGGUUGGUGGGGACACCCAGACCUCUUUUGGGAAGUCCCUCCACAGCUCCUCUCUCCCAUAGCACCCAUGGGGUCAGGGGCAGACUGGGUGCUCCCAGACCUCUUUCCUGUUCUGCCCUUAAUACACCAAAGGGAGAUCUCUUGUUCGAUGGUUCUCUAUUAACCCUAUUCAUGAGUCUUUUAAUUAGUGUUGCCUUCUGCUAAGUAAUCGCUUCAGCAUUAGCUCCUCUGGGGCAAUGCAGAGCUGCAACAGGGCACUGCAGGAGUUGCAUGCUGCUGUUCUGCCUUCUGGACCUGCUCCUGCUGGCAACUAUGCCAUUCCUUUUGCACAGACCGCACAGUGCCAGAGCAGCCCACUAAAACUUGCAAAGAAAAGCAGAAAGAAGCAUCUGAAACCCCACCAGGAGCUGCGGCAGGUAGAGUUCUACCCUUACAUCUGGGAAACCUCCAGCUCAGCUCAAUCCUGCUGAUGCACUGCUAAGGGGAGCUUUGUAGUGGCCCUAUUCAAAGCACUCAGCUCUGGGGGCAUGUUUCCCCCAGCACCCAGGAGCAAUGUUUCCUUUGUCAAUUCAGGGUCCCCACCAAUCUGCAUCACCCCAUGCCUGGAGGCAGAGCUGCCAUGGCUGCCUUUUAUCCCCUGCAUCCUCCGGCAGAGCUCACAAAGUGGUACUUUGUACCAGAGCAAGAAACAAGAGACGUGAGCUGUAAUACAGGAGAGAGAGAAAAAAAAACCCUCAUCUCACCCCUUGUGUUUUUCCUGGAAAUGUCACUGCCCUUAAUGCAUCAAAUAAUUAGAAUCACUUCUCCCCUUUUGUUUGCCUUGGCCCUCACUGCUCGCAUUGAGUGGGCCAACAUAAACCUGUGCGCACCACAGGAAUUUUGGGCACAGCCCAUUCUGCAGUGCUGGGUGCAGGGGGAGAAGUGGCUGCAGGAGCUUUGGUUCUGCUCCAUAUGUCUCUGCUGCUGUGGGCACUGCUGGGCACGGAGCUCCCAUAGAGAGGACCUCACUGCAACGCUAGCGCUCAACCAAGUGCUGGUCCCUAUGGAAAUCCACUGUCCUGGAGAGAAGCAGCAGCAGCUGAUGCCCAUUUAAUGCCAAAAUUGCAGAUUUGUGUUUGACCUGAGUGGUGGGUGUGAGCGUGAUGCUGGCAGGACAGAUGGGUGGAUAGCUCUCUGAAGUCCCAGUGGGAUGUUACGCUUGUUGCUCUGUAGUUGUAGCCUUCUCCUCUGGGUGCUGGGGAGUGCUCCGAGGUGACGUGGGAGAACAUAUCCCUUGUGAAUGCUGGAAAGCUGUGCUGGGUGAGGUGGCAUUGCACCACUAAUCCACGCACAGAGGAGCCCAGCACCCCCUCAGCACCCCUUACAGACACAGAUGGACACAGCCAGCAUCACAGCCCAGCUGGCUGCCUGCCCCCAGUACCGCUCCCAUGGGCUGCAUGUAUGUCAAUGGGUUAUUAAAGAAACGGAUGGGGGAUUAGCUGUGCUGUAGGUAGAGACCCCAUUCAGAUUUGCUAAGUUUCAGCAAGUAUGUUUUCAAUAAUUGGCUGGUAUUUGUAAGAAAUGAAUAAAACCUAGGCUACUAAAGCUGGUCCUUCUCUUAUUAUAAGGCAUUUAUUGCAUGCUUAGAAGCAUAUGUCUUCAAUAUCUGAAGCAAAGGAAAGUAAUAUAUAAGGAUCCCUUCUUAAACACAAAUAUAUGCAGCCAUAAUCACAAUUAUUAGCCACCAUGAAAUAGCUAACAAACUGAAGAAGCCCCCUCAGCAGCAGCUUUACAACUGGGGGUGCAUAAGAAAUAAAGACAAAGGAGAGAAUUGCCCUCUUAGCUGUGCGAGACUCCACAAGGCAGAGGAAGGAUCAGCUCUGCUGAGGAGUGUUGGCAUCUCGGAGAAGGUUCACGGAUGAAGCCAAUGGAGAAGGGUGUGCAGGAGCGGGGCAGGGAAUUGGGAAGCAGCGCUGCUGCUGGUGGUUGUAUCCUUCUGAAGAAAGAACACUGGAAAACUAAAGCUACCUGUCACUGCUGCUGUUAUCACAGAGGUAUUUGGGAGAGGGUGAGCGAAUGUUUCUGCAGGACUGCGUGCUGAUUUAUUGGUACGGAGGGAGGUGCAGCGGGGAAACCACUGUGCGGAUCGUUGGCGAGGAGGGGCACGUGGUUCUCCAAAGAUUUUUGUCUGAAAACGCAAUCAGCUGAAGUCAGCGCCGCGCCGAGGGUCUGAGCAGAGCUCAGUGCUGCUCAAGGAGGCACUUUCAUGUAAGAGGGAAGAAAUGGGCCCUGGCUCUGUGUAUAUCCCUGUUGGUCUUCUGAACACUUCGCGUUGCGUCUUCCUCCUCACUGCACCGCCCUGAAGCACAUACAGAAAAUGAUUGCUGAAAACGGGGUGUCCGCGAGUCACAAUGAGUGCAAUUAAACCAUGGAACGGAUUCCCCAGGGAUCUCACGCAUCCUUGGCUGCUUGGAGGAGCCUCAGGGCGGGCUGCAGCAGCUCCUUCCCUUUGGUGGAGCAGCGCUGUUCCUCCUGGGAUUUGCUCCAAAUGGACAGCUCUGCUCUGCUCCAGCUGCUCGGUGGGUUUCUCUCCAGCACGUUGCUGGUUUGCACAUCGUUUCAAGCCUGCAGCUGUUAUCGGGCUGUUGGUUUGAGCGUUGUUCACUUCCAAUCCCUGCCUCAUUGCAGGGGGAGACCAUCCCUGGAGAUCCUCCCCUCUCCCAUCUCCAGGGCACCGAUCCUCAGCCACUCUGAGCGCAAUGCAGACACCACACAGCUCAGCAGGUUUCAGUGCCUCUGCCACCAACUGCGACUCAAAUCCAAAGCGAUUUGGCUUUGUUUUGUUUCUAAGUUGCUGCUCGAGCUUUCUUGGCUCACAGGCAGAUUUUCUCUUCCAAGGUUUCAGUGGUGGAGGGCUGUUUCUCUAAUCCCCAAUAGUUUGAGAUUAUCUCCAGCCAACAAUUAAUCAGAAUCAGAAUUUUGCACUGCUUGCCUGUGCUGCUGCAUUGAGUGCAUGUAAAACCCUCUUUCCUCUGAAGAAAAGCAUGUUCUACUUUCCUAUGUUGCCUCCGGUCUCUUUAGCUGUCAGGGCACUCGGCAUCACACCAGGAUGCUGAAUAGGCCAAGGGAUGCCUUAAACAUACCACUCAAACAGGCAGAAAGCGGAUUCAGGAAGGCUCAACACGAGCUGAAAGCUCACUGUUUAGGAAGCAUCUCUGCUGGGGUGAGGGUUGGCUCUUAUGGGUUUGUGUUGUGGACUCAGCACUUGGGCAGCUUUGUUUUGGUGCAUGGAAUGCUCAGAGGCGUUCUCUGAGCGUGUGUUUGGGUAAUAGCCAAAAAUGAACCCAGUUAGCUAAUGGAAAUGCAUCCUUCCUCCUGUGCUGGGACUGCGUUGCACUGAGUGCGUUGGAAACAGCACCAGAAGUGAUGUCUGACUGCUGCAGAUCCCAAACCCUCAGUCAGGCACUGCUCUGUGGAUGAGCAAGAUGGGCACAGCUGGAUCUGCUCCUCAAGGAUCCGCUGCAGGUGUGUGACUGGGGAAUUUUUCCCAACCACUCAACCUUCUGACAGGGCUUCCAUCAGCUGGAGCUGCCUCUCCCUUCCAGCAUCUCUUCAGGCUGAAAAGAAAUCAUAUUUCCUGAAGCAACACCAAACAGGGAAGUGGUGCUGCUUUGUCACGUCCAAUUUCAAGUAGCUCUUCUCCUUAAGCUGCUCACAAACAAGCGAGGAGGAUGUAACACACAGCUUCUUUCAGACACGAUUCUCUCCUGCUGAGCCCUGAUCUCUUGCUGUCUGCAGCUCUGUGCUCUAUAGAUGGCACACGAUGCCAGCUCUGCCUGGCAGCCACAAGCUGAUGGGAUUUGUAUUUGUCCCAUCACCCCAUGAGCUGUCACAGGGGUGGAUCCCACUCCCUCCUGGCACUUGCUGUCUGCUGAGGACUCCCGUGUUAUCACUGCUGUCAACUUCCAAGCUGCGUUUUAUAUGGGAAGGAAAGCUGCCAGGCUGCUCUGCGAGCCAGUAGGUAUUCUUGGAGACAAAACAUUCAGUCUGGACCCGGCGCUGGUGGUUAAGCUUUAUUUGGUUCUCAUUUCCUUGAGAACUGGAUGCUCCUCUCCAUCUGUCAGCUCACAAAGCUGGGUCAGGCCGGCUGCAUCCUCUGCUCCAAAGCAAGGACCCCAAAAGGGAUCAGCUCCCCUUGACAUCAACGGGUUCUGGAUUGGGCCCCGGGCAAAGGCUCUCAAGAACGUGCUGCAGUUUGGGAAGCGGAGAAGCUGCGGUUUAACAUGGGAAUAGUUGGAGCAAGAAAAAUGUUAUUACCAAAACUCAGCUUAAACCAAGAGUACCGCGAGGUCAAACGCUGCAGCCAGUCAGAAACACAGUGUUCUUGAGGAUUGUUAUACUGGAGUUACAGGAGACAAGGUGCUUUCGUGGUAAAUGGAAAACGCAGCUCGGCAGAGAGGAGGAAGCUGCAGCAAAUGCACUGCUGAUGUUAAGCUGCUGCCUCCCUGGGGCCAAGCAGCAGUGCAUGACUGGGAACGUCCCAUCCCUGGGUCAGCAGCUGGACACCUCCAAGGCAGGGACCCCCCAGCCCCUCUUAAAGCUCUCUUGAAUGAUCCCAUGCUGCAGAGAGUACUACUCUGUACAAACAUGUAUACAAAUGUAAGUACAUCCAUAUACUUGGCUGAGAUGUAUAAACUCUGCAAUGGACUUUGGAUGUAAGUGUGGUCUUUGCUGCUGGCUCACCGGAGAGGGUUCUCAGUUAAUCACGGCUCAGUGGUUGGGCUGGGUGAUCUUAUCCAAUCUUAAUGAAUCUAUGAUCCUAUGGAAAUAAAUUGUACCCAGCUUGUCCCUGCUGCUGUCCCCUCCAAAGGUGCCAGGUUGCUCCGUCACAGGCAACACCGGGAUGAGUCCCUGGGAUCGUACCAGCACUCGUAUUCGGUGUCAAGGAAGACAAUAUGGAAACUGUGCCAAAAGAGGCCUGAUCUAUCACAAAUGCCAUCUCAUCAUUUUCAGCUGCUUUGAACUUCCCAGUGACUUUUAUUUGUGCCUCCCUUUUCUUUCUGUGCCAGAACAGACUCACAUCUUGAAAAGCUCUUCUCCCCACGUAGCUGUUAUCCUGCAGCCCUUCCCAAAUCCCCCCAGCUGUGCCUCCUCUGCUCUGCCUUGCUGGGAUAAGCAAGGGAGGUUCUUUGUCUGCAGGUGAGUUGUCUGCUGGUCUUUUUUAGGGGAAAUUGGAGGGCUCCUUGCAGACACAGAGGGCCACAAAUGGGUGGACAGGGAGCUGCUAAACAAAGAGCUGGUGUGAAUUAGAAGAGAGAUAAAGAGCAAUGGACUUGAUAAGGAGUUGGACUUGAUGAUCCUUGUGUGUUCUUCCAACUUGGGAUAUUGUAUGAUUUUAUGAAAAGAACCAUUGGCCCACAUUGCAGCCAAACAGCCCAGGCAUGGAGCAGAAAACAGCUUGACAAAGGUCAUGCAAGGAGCAUCAGAACAAGUUUCAGAUGUAGUCCUUUAACCAGAUGGCUGCUGUCUUGUGAGCAGUGCUGCAGCACGAGCCGUCAUUGCUCCUGGGCCACGUUCUGUUCCCAAAGAAAGUGUAGGGUGGGUGGACAACCCUGUGGGUGACCUGGAGCUCUCCAGGUGGGAGGGCUGAGCUCCAGCAGCAUGGAUCCAAUAUGGAGCUCCUUUGGACGUGGGGACAGUGAGGAAGGCAGAGCAGACCAGAGGUGCCAGGGUGGCUCUGAAACCUUCUCCGAGGACAUGCUCCACCUUCACAUCUCACCUACGUCAGAAUGACCUCAUGUUCAUAACAGCAGGAAUUUCCAGCUGGCGCAGCCAAGCCCUUUGCUGCUAAAUUAAAAUUUCUACCUCUCUCCAGAGAGUUAUUUCCCCUCCAUUCUUUUUAUUAAUAAAUUAAUAAUAAAGCAGUUUGCUGGAG